AAAUUGAAGAGUUUGAUCAUGGCUCAGAUUGAACGCUGGCGGCAGGCCUAACACAUGCAAGUCGAGCGGAAACGAGUUAUCAGAACCUUCGGGGAACGAUAGCGGCGUCGAGCGGCGGACGGGUGAGUAAUGCCUAGGAAAUUGCCCUGAUGUGGGGGAUAACCAUUGGAAACGAUGGCUAAUACCGCAUGAUGCCUACGGGCCAAAGAGGGGGACCUUCGGGCCUCUCG
rnacentral:rRNA from 1 species